CCCAUUUUUUAAUUUUGAUCCUCAGGGCACACUGGAAUACUACAAUUACAAACAGGCAUUUGAAAAGGUCCAGGAUCAGCCAACUGCUCCUGAUCCACCAGCUAAGUCAUUUGUGACCUAACAGUUCAGACUGCCUCACUUUCUUCCCGAUUGCUUCAAAUACAUGCUAAAUGACAUGGGACUUGAUUCUGAAGAAAUCCUGCAAAUGAGGGCUUUAGAAAUGAAGGAACAGCUGGAUACUAUGACCUGAUCCAGUAUACCAAAUACCCUGAGUGGAACCUUUUGGAGGAGGUCAUGAAACAGUCGUUUUCUGUAUUUSCAUUCUGCAUUAUGGAAAAGAGUUGGCAUGCACAUUUCCACUUCAUUAAUGAUCACAUAGCUGCAUUCAGCAAGGGUAUGUGAAGGAAACAAAGUGAGACAGAAUGUAAAUUAUUUCAGUAACUGAAACAAAGAAAGAUGUAAAGAAAUCUACCUGGAACACUGGUGAUUUUGAAGCAGGAACAGACCAGUUAAACUGAUUCAACCUUGCUGAAGUACAUCCAUGCAGAUGCAAAGUUUAUGGGGACAGCCCUGUCUCUUUAAUAGAGUUGAUUAAACAUUGGAGGCCAACCAGCCAGAAAAUUUGGAUCCAGAUUUGAAUUUUUAGCCAUCUUUGAUAUGCUUUGUUACCUGAA
ensembl:lncRNA